GUAUGCUUUCUGACUUGUGAACUGUUUAUGGCUUUCCUCGGUGCAAGCAGAUGUAUUUCUCCAGUUGCAUAAUUGAGCCAAAUUAUAUUUCAGGUUAAACAGAAUGCUUAUUUGAGAGGAGGGGAGUGCUGGCUUUUAAAAUGAAGUAAACUAGAAAAAUCUAAAGCGUUUUAUGGUUAUUGAAAGGGCUUUUUAAGUUGGAGGUAUAUUAGAUACAUAUUUAUUUUGAUAAGACCAUGCAUGUUAUAAGGGAAAAAACUUCAUCUUAAAAAUUUAACCCAAAAUAUUCUCUGGAGGAAUGAUUUGAAUGAAGCCUUCUCCAGACACCAAGGUUGAAGAAUAAAUAUUGGAGCUGAAAGGUGGAAUAUGACAUGCACUUGGAGGUGCAGACUCCCCAGGAACUUUUGUUAAUAAAUUGAAAUGCAGUACUUCCCCCCAUUUAAUUGUUAGUCACACCUGUCCCCAUAUGUUUGCUCAAGUUUGUUUUCUGCAGCUGCUGCAAGUCCGUGCCAGAUGGCAACCUAGCUCCUGGAGCAUGAAGAAAAGAAGUGAAAGAACUGUGAAGGUCUCGGAUCCCCCUGCGACUGCCUCUUCCCCUUCAAGGUCCUGAUCCUCCAGUCCGGGGGAGUACACUUUGAAUAGGAAGGGCAUGUAAAGUCAAGUCCCUUGCAUGCUUUAACCUAACGCAAUUAGCCUACUCUUUGAUUUUAGUGACUUGAGCUUCUUGUCCUUACAAGUAUGGUCAGGUGAACAAUGUUUUUAAAACGGAGGCAAAGAUCCUAAUUUGAGUUUGAUUAUCUAAUGAAGAUGCAGAACCGUAUUUAUUUAACUAGCUAACAAAAGAAGGUUUGGUUCUGUUUUGCAUUCAGUCUGACAGCACAGGAUGCUUUGAAAACAGUAUAUCUUAUUUGGGCACCUGAUUUUAAAUUUCCAGAUUCUUUUUUCCCUUAGCUUCCACGUGGGCUUGGCAUGUAGGCAGAGUAUGUUGUAGUGAGAGUGUUUGUUGCACAGAACAUGCAGACCAAACGUGUCUAACUCUAACGUCUGCCCCUAAUAUUGGAGAAAACAGCAUGCAGAUUAAAACUUCUUAUAAAAAAGCCCGGUUAAAAGCAGGAUUUUUUAAAAGUGCAUGUACUUCUAAACACAAUAGGAGGUGUUUGUCAUUCUGAGGAAUGAUGAGCAUCAAACUAAAAUUGUGUUUACAGUGUAAUAAUUAGUUGCAUCAGGAUAACAUGUUGCAUGAUGGAAAAAAUGUGCAAGUGUGCAUCCAUGCCAACCUUGUUCCUUUCCUCAGAAAGGUCAGAGGAUAAAAGUGUUAUGCCCUGUCAGGCAGCCAGCACCAUUUUACAGCUGUUAUUAGUUGCACUCGGCAUAGAGGAAAUGGGCUCUUGGUUCAGCUCACAAAAGCAAAGCCUGAAACGAGUUGUGCAAAGCAUUCAGCUUGGAUCUGUAACGUACUUGAAAUCAAUCUUGGUUCAAGUCUGGGCUGGCUCUAAGCACUUGUACCCAUUUGCUGGAAUUUUGUUUGUCUGAAGUUAGCAAAGAUUUGGCCUGAUUUGCUUUAAUUAAAAAAUAAAGAAUAUGCUGAUUCAAAGGAAAAUACCGCAGUGAAACAAAUCUGGGUUAUAUUUGGCUGGUGAGGAAACAGAGGAUGACGCCGGAUGUGGAGAAAAAGCAAAAGAAUAAUUGGAUCUCUUGCUGGCAAGGAAGUGGCAUCCACAAAUGGGAUUCUGAGUACCAAAUUCACUGACUUGUGAACCUCGGCCUUGAACUCCAUGGUGGUCUGUCUGCAGACUUAAGUGAAUGUGCUUGGAUUUUCAGCAUUAAGUGGCUGGGGGCAGUUGAAUUCGUUUGAUGUUUAAGAGCAGAGUUUGAAUUCUUCUUCUACCAGAGCUCCUUGCUUGGCAAACCAGCAGGCUUGUACUGAAAUGCAAACGGACCUUCAAGAAGCGUGUGAAUGGAGAGCAUGGAGUCAGGUGCAAAUGUGACCCUCAGCUUAACGUGGCAGCAGCCCUUCCACUGGAUUUCCUCGUGUCGCUGG